UAGUAGUGUUGGAGAACGUUGGCGUCACUUCUAUCAAACAGGCCCUUUAACAAUCUCAGAGUAGAAUGAUCUUGUUACUAUUGUAUAGCGUUACGAGAACUAUGUGCUACCCUCCCUGGUCUAGUACAACGGAGUCUAUUCAAGGUCUAUGACUGUAACAUCCCCCUGCAUCAUCUGCAAAAAUCAAAAUUAUACAUUAAACAUUUGUGGCAGAACACUGAAAUGAAAUAUAAACAUUUAUACAACAUUACACAAACAAAAACGUAAACGUAAAAUGGAUCAACCAUCCUUAUUUUUUAUUCUUUGAAGUAACUUUUAAACCUUUUUUGAUAAUAUCUCAAUAUUUGUAUCUGCAUUUCAUGCAGCUGUUGUUCAGUGGUUGCUGUUUGUUGGUGUGGUUCAUAAGUGUUUCUCAUUUUUUAUAUAGAUUAGACUGUUGGUUUUCCAGUUAUAAUUGUUUUACACUAGUCAUUUUGGGAUCCUUUAUAGCUUGUUGUUUGUUGUGUGUCAAGGCUAUGUGCUGAAGACUGUUCUUUGGCCUAUAAUUGUUAACAUUUUAUACGUUGUGACUUAGAUUGAGAGUUGUCUUAUUGGAAUUCAUACCCCAUCUUUUUAUGCCCCACCUACGAUAGUAGAGGGGCAUUAUGUUUUCUGGUCUGUGCGUCCGUCCGUCUGUCCGUUCGUUCGUCCGUCCGUC
rnacentral:lncRNA from 1 species